GCAGAGCAUCCUACGGGGGGCAGCAGUGGGGAAUAUUGCACAAUGGGCGCUAAGCCUGAUGCAGCCAUGCCGCGUGUAUGAAGAAGGCCUUCGGGUUGUAAAGUACUUUUCAGCAGUGAGGAAGGUGGGUAUGUUAAUAGCAUAUUCAUUUGACGUUAGCUGCAGAAGAAGCACCGGCUAACUCCGUGCCAGCAGCCGCGGGUAAUACGGAGGGUGCGAGCGUUAAUCGGAAUUACUGGGCGUAAAGCGCAUGCAGGUGGUUUGUUAAGUCAGAUGUGAAAGCCCCGGGGCUCAACCUCGGAAUUGCAUUUUGAAACUGGCAAACUAGAGUACUGUAGAGGGGGGUAGAAUUUCAGGUGUAGCGGUGAAAUGCGUAGAGAUCUGAAGGAAUACCGGUGGCGAAGGCGGCCCCCCUGGACAGAUACUGACACUCAGAUUCGCGAAAGCGUGGGGGAGCAAACAGGAUUAGAUACCCCUGGUAG
rnacentral:rRNA from 1 species